rnacentral:rRNA from 1 species
AGAUUGAACGCUAGCGGGAUGCCUUACACAUGCAAGUCGAACGGCAGCACGGACUUCGGUCUGGUGGCGAGUGGCGAACGGGUGAGUAAUGUAUCGGAACGUGCCCAGUAGCGGGGGGAUAACUACGCGAAAGCGUAGCUAAUACCGCAUACGCCCUACGGGGGAAAGCAGGGGAUCGCAAGACCUUGCACUAUUGGAGCGGCCGAUAUCGGAUUAGCUAGUUGGUGGGUAACGCUCACCAAGGCGACGAUCCGUAGCUGGUUUGAGAGGACGACCAGCCACACUGGGACUGAGACACGGCCCAGACUCCUACGGGAGGCAGCAGUGGGAAUUUGGACAAUGGGGAAACCCUGAUCCAGCCAUCCCGCGUGUGCGAUGAAGGCCUUCGGGUUGUAAAGCUACUUUUGGCUAAGGAAAGAAACGUCGAAGUGGUUAACUAACCCCGUAGAAACGUAGACGGUACC